CCUUGCGAUGAGUGCUUCAAUCACGCGGACAAGGAAUCAUUGGCUGUAGGAAGUGAGCUGUUAGUUUUUGGCCGAGAAAUGUUUGAUUUUGCUAUAUGGAAGUACAAUUCGACUUAUAAUAGCUGGGCGAAGUGUCAAGGAAUGAAUCGACCUCGCUGUCUGUUUGGCUCGGGUAGCCUUGGUUCGAUUGCUAUUGUAGCAGGUGGGAGUGAUAUAAAUGGGAAUGUUUUAGACUCUGCAGAGUUGUAUGACUCUUCAUUGGGUACGUGGGAAAUGUUACCCAAAAUGAUGACCCCGCGUAGAUUGUGUUCUGGUUUUUUUAUGGACGGG
rnacentral:misc_RNA from 1 species